GAUGAAGAACGCAGCGAAAUGCGAUACUUGGUGUGAAUUGCAGAAUCCCGUGAACCAUCGAGUCUUUGAACGCAAGUUGCGCCCGAAGCCAUUAGGCCGAGGGCACGCCUGCCUGGGCGUCACACGUCGUUGCCCCCCCGUCUACUCCUUCGGGAUUGCGGGGGGCGGAUGAUGGCCUCUCGUGCGCCUCGUCGCGCGGUUGGCCUAAAUGCCAAGUCCUCGGCGACGCACGCCACGACAAUCGGUGGUUGCGAAACCUCGGUUGCCUGUCGUGUGCGGUCGUCGCGCAUCGAGGGCUCGAAAAAAUUGCCGGGCUUCGGCUCGACUUUCAACGCGACCCCAGGUCAGGCGGGGUUACCCGCUGAAUUUAAGCAUAUCAAUAAGCGGAGGA
rnacentral:misc_RNA from 1 species